rnacentral:rRNA from 1 species
UACAGAGGUCUCAAGCGUUGUUCGGAUUCAUUGGGCGUAAAGGGUGCGUAGGUGGCGGGGGUAAGUCAGGUGUGAAAUUUCGGAGCUUAACUCCGAAACUGCAUUUGAUACUGCCUUGCUUGAGGACUGGAGAGGAGACUGGAAUUCACGGUGUAGCAGUGAAAUGCGUAGAGAUCGUGAGGAAGACCAGUGGCGAAGGCGGGGUCUCUGGACAGUUCCUGACACUGAGGCACGAAGGCCAGGGGAGCAAACGGGG